rnacentral:tRNA from 1 species
ACCUGACUGGCUCAGUCAGUAGAGCAUCUGACUUGAUCGCAGGGUUGUGAGUUUGACCCCCAUGUUAGGUG